UACGGAGGGUGCAAGCGUUAUCCGGAUUCACUGGGUUUAAAGGGUGCGUAGGCGGGCAGGUAAGUCAGUGGUGAAAUCCCCGAGCUCAACUUGGGAAUUGCCGUUGAUACUAUCUGUCUUGAAUAUCGUGGAGGUGAGCGGAAUAUGUCAUGUAGCGGUGAAAUGCUUAGAUAUGACAUAGAACACCCAUUGCGAAGGCAGCUCACUACACGAUAAUUGACGCUGAGGCACGAAAGCGUGGGGAGCAAAC
rnacentral:rRNA from 1 species